AAAAAGAUAAACUGAGAAGCCUUUUCUUUUUUUUCGCUGAGCUAAUUGUGGAAAGACAUGAUAGAUCUUAACAUCGAAAAAAAGCCAGAAGGUCUGCUGUAUAUGG